UACGUAGGCAGCAAGCGUUGUUCGGAAUUACUGGGCGUAAAGAGUGUGUAGGCGGUGUUCUAAGUUUGUCGUGAAAUCUCCCGGCUUAACUGGGAGGGUGCGGCGAAAAACUGGAAUGCUAGAGGAUGGGAGAGGUAAGCGGAAUUCCUGGUGUAGCGGUGAAAUGCGUAGAUAUCAGGAGGAACACCUGUGGUGUAGACAGCUUACUGGACCAUUUUCUGACGCUGAGACACGAAAGCGUGGGUAGCAAACAGG
rnacentral:rRNA from 1 species